rnacentral:misc_RNA from 1 species
GAAAUGCGAUACGUAGUGUGAAUUGCAGAAUUCCGCGAAUCAUCGAGUCUUUGAACGCAAGUUGCGCCCGAGGCUUGACCAAGGGCAUCUCUGCCAGAGCGUCACCGCGACACCCACCACACCACUCCAAGUUUGGAGGUGGUCUGUGAGUGAAAGUGGCCAUCCGAAUGGGGCCCACCCGUCUGGGUGGGCAGAUUGGGUUGGCUGAAAUGGAGGGAAUUUGGCCGCCGUGGUGACACAGCCCGCGAUCAGGUGAUCCAGGCUCAACCCCUGGAACUCAAACGUGCGCCGGUUGUGCCACCCAGUUGGUCGGACGGAAUUCCAAAGCAGGUCCUUCUCCCGACGCUGGGCCCCUCACGGGGCCGAGUGGAGGGAGACGUCGUCACGCAUCAGACCUCUG